GUGCUCGCUUCAGCAGCACAUGUACUAAAACUGGAACCAUACAGAGAAGAUUAGCAUGGCCCCUGCACAAGGAUGACACACACAUUUAUGAAGUGUCCCAUAUUAAA